GAACUAAAGAAAGAAAUGGAAGGGACCCGCAGUUCAGCAAAUCGGCCGAAAGUGUGUCCAAAAGUGUGGGAGUGAGAAAGACUAUUGGUGGGUAUCCCUUCUCUCUCUUUUAGAUGUUUUGUUUACAUCAAUCAGCUGACGGUUUUGUUGAUUACUCAGUUUAAAUUAGUUUUUGGGAUGAUUUCUGUUGUGUUCAAUUGGAAACGAGAUCUAAAAGUGUUCAGAAUGCUAAAACUCACGAUUAAUAUUCGCUUGAAACUUGAAAAAACUCAAAUAAAUCGGGGAAUCUCCGAAUCCCACUCGAAAACCUUUAAGUAUCUGGAUUUUGGGGUUUCUGAGAAAUAUGGAUCUAGUGAAGGGACAGAUUACCUUUACCUGGCCACCCGAAGGAAUUAAAAGGGUUGAAACUGUCUGAAAAGACCUCUUUCGAUUUUAACUGUCCUCUGAGUUUUUGUGUUUCUCAAAUCAUUGUUGUCCCCAUCAACAUCAGUACUGUUUGCAGUAACGCAAAAUUGGUAAAUUUCAGACAACUUACAACCAUUGUUGUAACAAGUUGCUAAAGGAUGCUCCAAUGAGCCGAACAAAAAUGAGCCAAAGAGUUUCCACAGGUUUCCUUUUAAACGCCCAGAUAUUUUGGAACUUUGGAUUACUGCUGUAGGAAGGGAAAAUUGGUAUACCUCAAAGUAUAGUAGAAUAUGUGAAGAUUACCUUCAUAAUCCAAGUUAUACAUAAAAAUAUUGAAACUUGAUGCUGUACCAAGUGUAUUCAAUAAUAUCCCAAGACAUUCAAGGAUCAUGGAAUACUUACAGUUCCAUCACUCUUCAUAUAUACAACUCACUGUGUUAUGUUCAUCAGAAGUGGAAAAACUUUCCGACCAAUUCUAUAAAUCAUGCAAAUGAAACAAGAAAUAAAGACUCCUUGCAGAUGCCAGUGCACCAUCUGAAGCGCAUACACCAGGGCAUGGACUUCUGGGGCCCCAAACUAUAUAAUAAAAUUCCUUCUAAGUUUCAUGACAAGUCCUUGAUGAACUUUAAGAGAGAAGUGAAAAGGUUGCUUUUAAAUGAAACUAUAUAUUCUAUAGAAGAGUUCUUACCGAGAAAGAAUAUGUGAUGAGGAUUGUUUUUUAUUUUUAUUGUGUUUGUAUGCAUGUUGUUACCACUGUGAUAUUUUAUAUUUGUUUAUUACUGUCGACACCAUUUGUAAUAUUGAUUGCAAACGAAGAUCCAUCUAAUCUAAUCUAAUCCGAUGAGAAGCAGAGCGCAUGUAAGUUUUCGAGUGAAUUUGAAUUAUUUGAAAUCAAUAAUUUUCUUUUUCAUUGUAGACUAUUACUGUAUAUGUAAACUAUUAUAUAUAUUGUUUAUAAUAAAAAUAUAGAAAGAAUUGACACUUGUUUUUUUUUGGACAACGCUCCUUAAUUAAUUUAAAAUUCAGUAUAGUAAAAGGAAAAUAUGUAUGUUCAACAUGUAGAUUAGAACCUUGAUGAAUUUCACAUGAUUAUAUUCUUUCACAAUAUACUAAUCUAGUUAAAAUGAACAAAUUUCUGUUAUUUUCACACAAAAAAAGACUUAUUAAAUUCCGUCUGCACUGCUCUGAAAAAUAUGAUCAACAUCGCAAAAUUAACUCAGAAAACGUCUUGAAUUGAUGAAAAAUAUGAUUCCAAUCAUCACAGUUCGAGAAACACGAGUCCAAAAUUUCAGAUAUCCCCAUCUCAUUGUUGCAGGUAUUUGGCAAAAAAAUUAUUAAAUUCCUUCUACACAACUAUGAAAAUAUAAUUUACAUCGCAUAAAGGUUAUCUAUGAUCGAAUAAUCAACUCAGAAAACGUCCUGAUUUGAUAAAAAAUACGAUUCAAAUCAGAAAAACGAAACGUCAAAAAUUUAAAUUCAAACUUUAAUAGGUUAUCUCUCCUUGCGCAAGUAUAGAGAGAGAAAGAUAUACAUCCAAUUGUCUAUUUCAGUCGGCCUCACUUUUGCUGACCCGAGAGUCCCUUCCA